ACGGAAGGCAGCAGUGGGGGAUAUUGCACAAUGGGGGAAACCCUGAUGCAGCGACGCCGCGUGAGUGAUGAAGUAUUUCGGUAUGUAAAGCUCUAUCAGCAGGAAAGAUAAUGACGGUACCUGACUAAGAAGCACCGGCUAAAUACGUGCCAGCAGCCGCGGUAAUACGUAUGGUGCAAGCGUUAUCCGGAUUUACUGGGUGUAAGGGGAGCGUAGACGGCAUGGCAAGCCAGAUGUGAAAGGUGGGGGCUCAACUCCCAAGCUGCAUUUGGAACUGUCAAGCUAGAGUAUCGGAGAGGUAAGUGGAAUUCCUAGUGUAGCGGUGAAAUGCGUAGAUAUUAGGAGGAACACCAGUGGCGAAGGCGGCUUGCUGGACGAUAACUGACGUUGAGGCUCGAAAGCGUGGGGAGCAAACAGGAUUAGAUACCCUGGUA
rnacentral:rRNA from 1 species